rnacentral:rRNA from 1 species
AAUGAACGCUGGCGGCAUGCCUUACACAUGCAAGUCGAACGGCAGCAUGACCUAGCUUGCUUGGUUGAUGGCGAGUGGCGAACGGGUGAGUAAUGCAUCGGAACGUGCCUUUUAGUGGGGGAUAACGUAGCGAAAGUUACGCUAAUACCGCAUAUUCUCUGAGGAGGAAAGCAGGGGACCUUCGGGCCUUGCGCUAGAAGAGCGGCCGAUGUCGGAUUAGCUAGUUGGUGAGGUAAAGGCUCACCAAGGCAACGAUCCGUAGCGGGUCUGAGAGGAUGAUCCGCCACACUGGGACUGAGACACGGCCCAGACUCCUACGGGAGGCAGCAGUGGGGAAUUUUGGACAAUGGGCGCAAGCCUGAUCCAGCCAUGCCGCGUGAGUGAAGAAGGCCUUCGGGUUGUAAAGCUCUUUCGGCUGGGAAGAAAUCGCACCCUCUAAUACAGGGUGUGGAUGACGGUACCAGCAUAAGAAGCACCGGCUAACUACGUG